GGGGGUGCGUGCUUGCGUGCGUGCGCGCGUGCCGCCAGACCCCGCACCGGGGGUCGCGCCGCCGGCCGCGGGGGGCUCUGGGAGCCGUAGUCCGCCGCGAGGGGCCGCCAUGGCGGCGGGGGUGGCCUGAGGGCGCCGCGCUACGACGGCUGUGGCGGUGGGAAGGCACUGGGCAGGGUGCGACGGGCAGGGCAGAGGACACCCACCGCGGUCACCCCUGGCUGCCAGCGGGGUCGCCUCGAUGUUGAUGCCUGCGGUAUUUUGCGCGCUCCGCCCCCCGGAAAAACCUCAUCCUACUUGUAGUGCCGACCGCAAGCGCCCAGCGGUCAUGAGUCAGCCGUGCCGAGCAUCGCGCGGGGAGAGAGGAGCCAUUCCUGUGAAGUUUUCUCAAUGAUGUCUUCUAAAAUUGCAUCAGCUACCUGCAUUUUCGAAGUCUGCUAAACUACAGAAAACUAUGUUGUCAACCUAGAUUCAACUCUUUUGUAUUUCAGGGCAAGCAUAUAGUCACUUUUCAAAAAUGUGAUUCUCCCCAGUUUGCAUUUUGCACUAUUAUCCACUUGUGUAAAGUGGAAAGCAUUUAGUUCCUUACAGAAUUUUGCCCCUACUUUUCCUAGCUACAUGUAGCUGCAGAAUAGCACCCCAUUGGAGAUUUUGACUCAUGAACGUCACUUUCCCUUUCCAAGUAAUGUUCAUGUGAAGCCUUGCUCACCAGUGCCAUUUAGGUUCUGGUUCUGCAAACAUAUAUGCUGUUAAGCAUGCGAAAAGUUCCACAGGGUGUAAGGAGACUCAUCAUGUUUAUACGCUAGUAGGGCUGAGUUUUCAUGUUGCCUUCUUUUUCCCUCAGACACAAAAAUAAUUUUGUAUUGGCAUGGGAGAUAAAAAUACUAUACUGAGAAGGACAGAGAGAUAAAAAUAAGCCAUGCAGCAUUUGUAAUGCUUUAGUUAGCAUGCUACGUGCCCGUUAUGCCACUGCAUUCAAAGUGCACAUAUUCUGUUAUUUACAGCACACUACAGGAGAUAUGGCUCCAGGUAGUCAAAGCCAUCCAAACUGGAAACAAAGCACGCCGUGUAUGCUCUGCCCAUAGCACAAUAAUUGCCAUUUAUCUUACUAGCUGAUGUUUUAGAAUGAAUGCUACUAUUUGGCUAAAAGGAGGAGUAAUGUGAGCAUGUCCAUUUUGGGUUUUAUUAUUCAAUCUAUGCUGUGAUAAAAUGUGCAGUGGCUUCAGUGUGAAUCAGGUCAUGCUUGUGCAGGACAGAGAUAUCAGCAGAGAGUGAAAGAAGGUAGAGCUAAGCAGGGGCUCUGCACAGAAUCUUUUUGAAAACUCACCAAGUAGCUCUAUGCAGCUUUUGGUACCCAAAUGCUAUUAAUCAUUUUGUGAUCAACUCAUAAUUCAAGGCAGAGUUCACAAUCCCAUAAGUCACUCAGAUCAUGAUUUCGUUAUGGCUGUUGUAUCUCCAUAUAACAGUAGAAAACUGAGGAAAAGCUGACAGUUGUUUUCCAAAUACAGAAGGAAUAUUAUAUUAACCAAAAAGAAUAUUAUACUAACCAAAUAAAGCCUACUGUUUAAAAA